rnacentral:rRNA from 1 species
GUUUACUUUGAAANNAUUAGAGUGUUCAAAGCAGGCCAGCGCUUGAAUACAUAAGCAUGGAAUAAUGGAAUAGGACUUUGGUUCUAUUUUGUUNGUUUCUGGAACCGAAGUAAUGAUUAAAAGGGACAGUUNGGGGNAUUCGUAUUUCGUUGUCAGAGGUGAAAUUCUUGGAUUUACGAAAGACGAACUACUGCGAAAGCAUUUGCCAAGAAUGUUUUCAUUAAUCNAGAACGNAAGUUAGAGGAUCSAAGUCGAUCAGAUACAUYCCUAGUUCUAACCAUAAACGAUGCCGACUAGGGAUCAGAGAGUGUUAUUCGAUGACCUCUUUGGCACCUNAUGGGAAACCAAAGUUUUUG